rnacentral:rRNA from 1 species
UACGUAGGGUGCAGGCGUUAAUCGGAAUUACUGGGCGUAAAGCGUGCGUAGGCGGCUCCUUAAGUCAGAUGUGAAAGCCCCGGGCUUAACCUGGGAACUGCGUUUGAAACUGGGGAGCUAGAGUGUGGAAGAGGGGGGUGGAAUUCCAGGUGUAGCAGUGAGAUGCGUAGAGAUCUGGAGGAACACCGAUGGCGAAGGCAGCCCCCUGGGCUAACACUGACGCUCAUGCACGAAAGCGUGGGGAGCAAACAGG